GACGAACGCUGGCGGCGUGCUUAACACCUGCAAGUCGAACGUAGUGGCGAACGGGUGAGUAAUACGUGGGUAACCUGCCCUCCUUUUUGGGAUAAUCCUUGGAAACGGGGUCUACUACCGAAUAAAGGGGGAUGUGCUUGCGGCCUAUCAGCUUGUUGGUGGGGUGAUGGCCUACCAAGGCGGUGCCGGGGAGCCGGCCUGCGAGGGUGACCGGCCAUAUUGGGACGGAGAUACGGCCCCGACUCCUACGGGAGGGAGCAGUUGGGGAGAUGGCACAAUGGUGGAAAGGCUGCUGCGGCGACGCCGCGUGGGGGAUGGAGGCGUACGGGUUGUAAACGUCUGUCGCUAUAGAACGGGUAGGUGGAGAGGAAGCGUCGGCUAACUACGAGCCAGCAGCCGCGGUAAUAC
rnacentral:rRNA from 1 species